rnacentral:misc_RNA from 1 species
UGCCCGGGCAGCGACGACGUCCCGAUCAAGCCCCUUCAGUUGUUGGAUCAAGCGCACAACGCCUUGGCCGACGUCGGUUUCCUGUGCUGAAUUCCUAACGGAUGGCAAUCUCUCGUCCACCAACGUCCCUUGCUCCUCCUCUCGCCGCGCAUCCGAAAGGAGACGCGGCGCGGGGAGGACAUCAAAGCCCCCGUCGUGUUUCGCAGCCCGCUCUCCCGCUAGCUCGGGAGAUCCAGGGCUUUCGACCCACGACGUCGUGCUCGAUCUCUCGGAUGCGGAACACCAAGCGGCCACGAGGCCUCGGCCUCGGAUGCCCAAUAACAAGAGCGUCCAACGCUCCCUGCGGACGACUGCCGCUCGGGUCUUGGAUGGGAGCCCCAGUGGCUCCCGGAUCAUGCCCGGGCGGCGUCGACGAGGAAUGCUACCUGGUUGAUCCUGCCAGUAGUCAU